rnacentral:rRNA from 1 species
GACGAACGCUGGCGGCGUGCUUAACACAUGCAAGUCGAACGGAAAGGCCCCUUCUGGGGUACUCGAGUGGCGAACAGGUGAGUAACACGUGAGUAACCUGCCCUUGACUUCGGGAUAACUUCAGGAAACUGGGGCUAAUACCGGAUAGGAAUCCUUGCUGCAUGGUGGGGGUUGGAAAGCUUCGGCGGUUUUGGAUGGACUCGCGGCUUAUCAGCUUGUUGGUGGGGUAGUGGCUUACCAAGGCUUUGACGGGUAGCCGGCCUGAGAGGGCGACCGGCCACAUUGGGACUGAGAUACGGCCCAGACUCCUACGGGAGGCAGCAGUGGGGAAUAUUGCACAAUGGGCGGAAGCCUGAUGCAGCAACGCCGCGUGCGGGAUGACGGCCUUCGGGUUGUAAACCGCUUUCAGCAGGGGCGAAGCUUGUGGUGACGGUACCUGCAGAAGAAGCACCGGCUAACUACGUG